rnacentral:lncRNA from 1 species
CUGUGCAGACAGAGCACUGGUUUACUGGUAAAGGAAGAAGGGUUUUCAGGGGCCUGCUGAAAGGAAGUUUGGUGUGAGAGUGACUCGGUGUCUUACUACACAAGUCUGGAAGGCUGCAGGGCUCCACAAGCAACAACCUCAGAGCAGCAUGAUUUGCUAGCAGCUACAUGCAGUGACUAAAUGAUUACACGAAGUCAAUACUCCUUAACAGCCCUGGAACAGUUUCACCUGGGCUCCCCACACCUGCCCACGGCUCCAUUUAAGCUCAGGCCAGCGGCCUCUGCUCUUUUCUGUGCCCUGUGCAGGCAUGCCUGCCUCCAGCCCUCCUCUGGCUGUGCCUCUAGGAUGGACACCAGCCGUGCUAUGCAGUGUAGAAUGGACCAGAAGAAGUGGUGGGCUGAGCUGUGCUGCUUGCCAUCCCCAAAGCACUGGGAGCGUGUGUGGGUGGUGUGUCCUCCGUCCCUCCUCACUUCCCUGCAGGUGCUGUGACUACUGGUGCACAGCACAUCGACUUCAUGCUGCCAUAAGCCCUGCUGCUUGCCUGUGGGGGGCUGUUUUGGGGCAGAAAGGUCUUGGCAGCACUGUGGUGGCAGAGGGGAAGCAGCUGGGUGCCUGUGGUGUGGGCUGCUGGUGGUCUCAUCCUUGCCAGCGGCCUCUGUGCUUCAGCAACGGCUGCUGAGGGAAGAUGUCUGUUUCUGUUAACUGAACCCAGAAACACUUCUCAUUUCUGUCUCCACUAGUGUAACAGCCCCAUGUGUUGCUUUUGCCUUCUGUACACACUUCCUGACAAUAAAGAUGUUUUUUUCUGCCUAUCUCCUUUCAUUCUCUACUGUUCCCUCCCUCCCCCCAUCAAUCUCCAAUCCUCAUAAAAGCCAUCAUCUGUUCUAUUUUUAUUUUUUUUGUUCUAGCCAAUAGUUUUGUCUCUGUCCUCCUUGGUUCUGAAGACCUUUUUCUUAUGUAGGCAGGUCAUCUCCCACACUUGUUUCCACUACCAUUUUUGCAAACUUGGCUCUUGUUUUGUUCAUUUCCUGCUUCGUUUCCUUUACCUCUCCCCUAUCUUUUCCUUUUUGUCUCUGAAAUCUUUAAUCUGUCUCUAGACGAAGUCAUCCUCCCUCACAGGCACUUCAAAUUUCAGUCCUCCAGGCUGUUUCUGCCCUCAUAAUGUUCAUUUUCACCUCCUUGCUGCUGCUUCCCACUCCACCUUCACACACCUCUGCUCAGCCCACACACACCCUUUCUCCUCCUCUGCCUGCUGGCUGUUGACAGGGAUCUUCACUUAGCUUUUCCUCACCAGCUGUGUUCUCUGAUGUCAGUUCAUGUUUUUGUCUCUUCCUCCUGUGCUCCGUGACCUCAAAGAUUUGUCUUGCACUUUGGCUCCUUCCAUGCUGUCCAGCUUGACAGCUCCAGGCUCUGCCCUUCAUCCCAUGCCUUUCUUCUGCUUUCAUUUCUGAGAAGAAUCUCAUUGCCUUUCUCCACUGCAUUUUGUGGUUUCUUUCUCUGAAAUUUGGAUUAACUUAGUGAUUAUUCUGUGGGUUAAUCAAACCCCAAAUCCACAGUUCUGACUGCUGCUUGUCACGUUGAUUUUAUCCUGCAAACUCCAGCCUCUUCCUGCCCUCAAACAACAUUUCUAUCUUUCUCAUAUAAAAAUGACAAAAUCUGACUGCCAGCUGAGACUACCUUGCCUGUUCAAUUCUUCCUUGAUACUCUAACCCUUCCUUUGCACAAUUCCAAGUGCCAUAUAUCUUUAAUAACUACCAUCCUGUCUUCAGUCUUAGUUUACCCUGUCAGCCAGUACUUCCAACUGUGCUCUGCCUGAAUUUUGUCUUCCCUUAGCCAAAACGGCGUUAUGUGGGUUUCUCCUAUGUCUCCAGUCUUUCUGAAUGCAUCUUUGUCUGUUCUUCAGUCUCUUCCAGAUGAUCUCACUUAGAAAUAUAAAAUCUUUCUCUAUGCUAAGCAAUGUACAGAGCAAACCCCUUGGGUGGUUUUGGCCUCACCCCACUCAUCUGAAUUAGCACCUCAGGUGCCCAUUCAGCUCAGUGUUGUCCUUGCACUGCCUUUUCAAACUCACUGUAUCCUUUUUUUUUUUUGUCACAGAAGGUAGCACAGAAGUCUUAAUCUAUCAUCUGAUAUGGCUAUAGCUGUCACAUCACUUAGCAAGCUUCUUGGAAGUUCAUGGUGACUCCUAGUGUCUAUG